rnacentral:sRNA from 1 species
AAGAACCAUACGUUAUUGUUACUCUGCCAGCCCAGUCAUGGAGACUAGUAGAUUCUCAGCAAUUGCGUGUUUGAUACAUUCACGUUUCCAUUUUAAUUUUAAUACAUUUAAAAUAUUUUGAAAAUCAGGCGACAGUAUGUUGACUGCUGUCUCUGUGGCCAGAGACUGUGGAAUGAUUCUACCUCAGGAUAAAGUGAUUAUUGCCGAAGCGUUACCUCCAAAGGAUGGGAAAGUUGCCAAAAUAAAUUGGCAUUAUGCAGACUCCCUCACGCAGUGCAGUCAUCCAUCAGCAAUUGACCCAGAGGCUAUUCCGGUUAAAUUGGUCCAUGAUAGCUUAGACGAUCUUCAAAUGACUCGUUAUCAUUUUGCAAUGAAUGGAAAAUCAUUUUCAGUGAUACUGGAGCAUUUUCAAGACCUUGUUCCUAAGCUGAUGUUGCAUGGCACCGUGUUUGCCCGUAUGGCACCUGAUCAGAAGACACAGUUGAUAGAAGCAUUGCAAAAUGUUGAGUAAGUAUUGGCG